CGAGCUGCUUUUGGAUCUCAAUGUCAUACCUAUUGGGCCUGGAUACUUCAACACAAGAAGGCUCAUUAGGUCAAGAGAUGUUUGGAGUAUAAAAGGAGACACUUAGGAGGAAAAAAGGGGAUUGAUUCUAGGUCAAAAACAAUAUAUUGUAAUAGUUAUUCUCUUGAGUGUUCAAGGACUCUCUAGGGCAGCUCAUCUUUAAUGUUCACAUAUAUAUAAUUAAUUUGGUGAGCGUUAAGCUAGGCUGGACCGAAUAAGUGAAAAAUUUGAUAAGUGAACAAUAAGAAGGGAAAGUUUGAGCUAAGGUAGAAGAGCUAUUAGGUAAAAGAGCUCGUGGCCGAGCUGCCUAGUUAAAGGCGAAAGAGGUGUUGUUAAGGGUUGGAACUCAUAGUUGUUUUGGUCAUGAGCUAGUAACAUGAAAGAAUAGAGGAGCUCUGCUAAGAGACCGAGUUGUCCAAGAGAAAAAAGCUUUGGAGGCCUUUUGCCAAACACUUUGAGUGAUAUUCAAAAGGUAUAUCAUGUGGAAAUAGUUGGUGUAAGCCCUAGAGGCCAAUUACUAUUUAAUAGUGAUAUUCAAAGAAGGAGGUGAAAAUGUUGGUGUAAGCCCUAGAGGCCAAUUAUUUAUAAUUGCAUGAUACUUGUAUUGGAUAAUUUACUUAUUAAAUAAAGGUUUUUCUUUAUUAUGUUUAUG
rnacentral:lncRNA from 1 species